UAAGGAAUAUUGCGCAAUGGGGGAAACCCUGACGCAGCAACGCCGCGUGGAGGAUGACACUUUUCGGAGCGUAAACUCCUUUUAUCAGGAAAGAAUAAUGACGGUACCUGAUGAAUAAGCACCGGCUAACUCCGUGCCAGCAGCCGCGGUAAUACGGGGGGUGCAAGCGUUACUCGGAAUCACUGGGCGUAAAGGACGCGUAGGCGGAUUAGCAAGUCUUUUGUGAAAUCUAGUUGCUUAACCACUAAACUGCUUAGGAAACUGAUAGUCUAGAGUAGGGGAGAGAUAGAUGGAAUUCUUGGUGUAGGGGUAAGAUCCGUAGAGAUCAAGAAGAAUACCCAUUGCGAAAGCGAUCUGCUGGAACCUAACUGACGCUGAGGCGUGAAAGCGUGGGUAGCAAACAGG
rnacentral:rRNA from 1 species